rnacentral:rRNA from 1 species
CGGCGGACGGGUGAGUAACACGUGGAUAACCUACCUAUAAGACUGGGAUAACUUCGGGAAACCGGAGCUAAUACCGGAUAAUAUAUUGAACCGCAUGGUUCAAUAGUGAAAGACGGUUUUGCUAUCACUUAUAGAUGGAUCCGCGCCGCAUUAGCUAGUUGGUAAGGUAACGGCUUACCAAGGCAACGAUGCGUAGCCGACCUGAGAGGGUGAUCGGCCACACUGGAACUGAGACACGGUCCAG